rnacentral:rRNA from 1 species
GAUGAACGCUGGCGGCGUGCCUAACACAUGCAAGUCGAGCGAACAGACGAGGAGCUUGCUCCUCUGACGUUAGCGGCGGACGGGCGAGUAACACGUGGAUAACCUACCUAUAAGACUGGGAUAACUUCGGGAAACCGGAGCUAAUACCGGAUAAUAUAUUGAACCGCAUGGUUCAAUAGUGAAAGACGGUUUUGCCGUCACUUAUAGAUGGAUCCGCGCCGCAUUAGCUAGUUGGUAAGGUAACGGCUUACCAAGGCAACGAUGCGUAGCCGACCUGAGAGGGUGAUCGGCCACACUGGAACUGAGACACGGUCCAGACUCCUACGGGAGGCAGCAGUAGGGAAUCUUCCGCAAUGGGCGAAAGCCUGACGGAGCAACGCCGCGUGAGUGAUGAAGGUCUUCGGAUCGUAAAGCUCUGUUAUUAGGGAAGAACAAAUGUGUAAGUAACUAUGCACGUCUUGACGGUACCUAAUCAGAAAGCCACGGCUAACUACGUG